AACGAACGCUGGCGGCAUGCCUAACACAUGCAAGUCGAACGAGACCUUCGGGUCUAGUGGCGCACGGGUGCGUAACGCGUGGGAAUCUGCCCUUGGGUUCGGAAUAACUUCGGGAAACUGAAGCUAAUACCGGAUGAUGACGUAAGUCCAAAGAUUUAUCGCCCAAGGAUGAGCCCGCGUAGGAUUAGCUAGUUGGUGAGGUAAAGGCUCACCAAGGCGACGAUCCUUAGCUGGUCUGAGAGGAUGAUCAGCCACACUGGGACUGAGACACGGCCCAGACUCCUACGGGAGGCAGCAGUGGGGAAUAUUGGACAAUGGGCGAAAGCCUGAUCCAGCAAUGCCGCGUGAGUGAUGAAGGCCUUAGGGUUGUAAAGCUCUUUACCCGGGAUGAUAAUGACAGUACCGGGAGAAUAAGCUCCGGCUAAACUCCGUGCCAGCAGCCGCGGU
rnacentral:rRNA from 1 species